GCAUUGGUGGUUCAGAGGUGGAAUUCACGCCUGCCAUGCGGGAGGCCUGGGUUUGUUUCCCAGCCUAUGGA
rnacentral:tRNA from 1 species